GCCCAGUGCUCUGAAUGGGCCAGCCCCUUAGAUGGUGGAGGUGGUAUGUUUGGGCUUGGGGGCUGGGCAA
rnacentral:precursor_RNA from 1 species